rnacentral:lncRNA from 1 species
UGCGAAGUGGGAAAUUAUUAUAUUUCGAUCACUUGGAAUAUUUACAAAGUAAUGUUUUUUUCUCCAUCCAUAAUAAUAAUACACACAUUUUCCCUCCUUUUCAAGAGAUGUCGUUCCUACUUGCGAAACCAUGUAGUUUAGGUUUAAACAUUGAACCAAAGAUAUAAAAAAAAAAAGAAUUCUAAACCAGAGUACUCACAUACCGAUUAUAUAGUCCACUUGAGAUCACUUGAUUUCCUAUCACCCA